rnacentral:rRNA from 1 species
UACGCGAAGAACCUUACCAGCCCUUGACAUCCCGAUCGCGGUUACCAGAGAUGGUAUCCUUCAGUUAGGCUGGAUCGGUGACAGGUGCUGCAUGGCUGUCGUCAGCUCGUGUCGUGAGAUGUUGGGUUAAGUCCCGCAACGAGCGCAACCCUCGCCCUUAGUUGCCAUCAUUCAGUUGGGCACUCUAAGGGGACUGCCGGUGAUAAGCCGAGAGGAAGGUGGGGAUGACGUCAAGUCCUCAUGGCCCUUACGGGCUGGGCUACACACGUGCUACAAUGGUGGUGACAGUGGGCAGCGAGACCGCGAGGUCGAGCUAAUCUCCAAAAGCCAUCUCAGUUCGGAUUGCACUCUGCAACUCGAGUGCAUGAAGUUGGAAUCGCUAGUAAUCGUGGAUCAGAAUGCCACGGUGAAUACGUUCCCGGGCCUUGUACACACC